GAUCACUGCAAACCUCUGGAAAACCAGAUCCAGGACUGGAGAAAGUAAAGAAGAGUUCCUAUGAGGAAGGAGGCUGAUACAAACAGCAACUACAGAAAAUGACUUGCACUGGACCCUGCGGUGGGUGCAUGCCUGCACCCCAGGCCGUGUCCUUCGGAAGAAAUCCAGGAAGCCCGAGGCCAGAGCGCAGAAUGUACCUGUAUGAUUCUGCAAAUCCCACAGAUCCUAUGGGCAGUUGCUCCAUUACAUUCUGCGGCACAGAAGAGUCUCCCAAUUCCUCAUGGCACCCAGGCCUUAAACAGCCUGUGGGUGGCUUUUGUUUGGGCCAUGGGCUCUUUGAAAAUGUGACUCAAUCAGCAUCGCCUCCUCUGGGAACCUGCUUCACCUCCAGAACAGGCCAGGCUGCCUUAUACCCACAGCACCCCUGUCUCUCCGUGGUGUCGCCGCCUCUGUAAAGGGGCUUCCCUGGUGGCGCAGUGGUUAAGAAUCCGCCUGCCAAUGCAGGAGACACGGGUUCGAGCCCUGAUCCGGGAAGAUCCCAUACACUGCAGAGCAACUAAGCCCGUGCGCCACAACUACUGAGCCUGCGCUCUAGAGCCCGCGAGCCACAACUACUGAGCCCGCGUGCCACAACUACUGAAGCCCGCACGCCUACAGCCCAUGCUGCGCAACAAGAGAAGCCACAGCAAUGAGAAAGCCGCACACCGCAACGAAGAGCAGCCCCCGCUCACCCCAACUAGAGAAAGCCCGUGAGCAGCAACAAAGAC